ensembl:rRNA 5S_rRNA 5S ribosomal RNA
UCCAGCAGCCAUAUCACCCUGCAACUCACAACUGGUAACCCACUGAAGCUAAGCAGGUGUGAGCCUGGUCAGUACCUGGAUGGGAGACCUCCUGGGAAAAACUAAGGUUGCUGCUGGAA